rnacentral:misc_RNA from 1 species
UACGGAGGGAGCUAGCGUUGUUCGGAAUUACUGGGCGUAAAGCGCACGUAGGCGGCGAUCCAAGUCAGGGGUGAAAUCCCGGGGCUCAACCCCGGAACUGCCCUUGAAACUAGGUUGCUAGAAUACUGGAGAGGUGAGUGGAAUUCCGAGUGUAGAGGUGAAAUUCGUAGAUAUUCGGAAGAACACCAGUGGCGAAGGCGACUCACUGGACAGAUACUGACGCUGAGGUGCGAAAGUGUGGGGAGCAAACAGG